UUCCUUCCCCAGCCCUACAAGGAGUUUCCUUCUCUGUCACCAGCCCAUACAUGGCGCUUCCUUCCCGGCGCAGCUGGCAGGCUGCCCGCUGGCUUGAGCACGGCCCCCGCGAGCAGCCCGCGGCGCCGUGACCCUGCCAAGGAGGGGAUCGGCGGACAGGCCGGCCUCCGGAGCCCCUCGGGACAGCGCCGCCUUCCACCCCGUAAGUCCAUAGAACUGGCUGUCCAGGAACUCACUAUGUCGACCAGCCGAGCCUCUUGAACCCCCAGAGAUCCAGCUGCCUUAGCCUCCCAAAUGCUGAGAUUAAAGACAGGGUUUCUCAGUUUAGCCUUGGCUGUCCUGGAACUCACUCUGUAG